rnacentral:rRNA from 1 species
UGUUUCGGCUAGGGGGCCAUCCCGGCUUACCAACCCGAUGCAAACUGCGAAUACCGGAGAAUGUUAUCACGGGAGACACACGGCGGGUGCUAACGUCCGUCGUGAAGAGGGAAACAACCCAGACCGCCAGCUAAGGUCCCAAAGUCAUGGUUAAGUGGGAAACGAUGUGGGAAGGCCCAGACAGCCAGGAUGUUGGCUUAGAAGCAGCCAUCAUUUAAAGAAAGCGUAAUAGCUCACUGGUCGAGUCGGCCUGCGCGGAAGAUGUAACGGGGCUAAACCAUGCACCGAAGCUGCGGCAGCGAACGUAUCACUUAAAGCGAUUCAGCGGGUUACGAUUGACGGAGCGAAGCGACGUCAAAGCGUAUACAAAGUCGAGUCGGUUUAAGGAUACGUUCGUUGGGUAGGGGAGCGUUCUGUAAGCCUGCGAAGGUGGCCUGUGAGGGUUGCUGGAGGUAUCAGAAGUGCGAAUGCUGACAUAAGUAACGAUAAAGCGGGUGAAAAGCCCGCUCGCCGGAAGACCAAGGGUUCCUGUCCAACGUUAAUCGGGGCAGGGUGAGUCGACCCCUAAGGCGAGGCCGAAAGGCGUAGUCGAUGGGAAACGGGUUAAUAUUCCCGUACUUGGUGUUACUGCGAAGGGGGGACGGAGAAGGCUAUGUUGGCCGGGCGACGGUUGUCCCGGUUUAAGCGUGUAGGCUGGUUUUCCAGGCAAAUCCGGAAAAUCAAGGCUGAGGCGUGAUGACGAGGCACUACGGUGCUGAAGCAACAAAUGCCCUGCUUCCAGGAAAAGCCUCUAAGCAUCAGGUAACAUCAAAUCGUACCCCAAACCGACACAGGU